UACGGAGGGGGCUAGCGUUGUUCGGAAUUACUGGGCGUAAAGCGCACGUAGGCGGCUUUGCAAGUUAGAGGUGAAAGCCCGGGGCUCAACUCCGGAAUUGCCUUUAAAACUGCAUCGCUAGAAUUGUGGAGAGGUAAGUGGAAUUCCGAGUGUAGAGGUGAAAUUCGUAGAUAUUCGGAAGAACACCAGUGGCGAAGGCGACUUACUGGACCGGUAUUGACGCUGAGGUGCGAAAGCGUGGGGAGCAAACAGG
rnacentral:rRNA from 1 species